rnacentral:lncRNA from 10 species
GGUGGAGAUGCCUGUUUGAUGUCCCAGCAGAGAGCUGAAGAGACAACUGGACACAGAAUUGUGGAGCUCAGGGGCGAGGCCUGCAGGGGACGUGGAGUCAUACAGGCUCCAGAUGUUUCUGUAGAUAAUUUCAAGGAACAUGGCACCUGGGAUGUGACUGCCCUCAGCAUUCCUUCUGGUGGCAGAUUCAGUUGUCACCUUGCCAACUGCUUUCACAAGAACAGUUUGCUGUUUGCUCAUACAGCCUCCAAUGGUAUACUGAGUUGACAACCCUCAUUCCUUCAGUGUCCAACAUCUCCC